rnacentral:rRNA from 1 species
GAUGAACGCUGGCGGCGUGCCUAAUACAUGCAAGUCGAGCGAACGGACGAGAGGCUUGCUUCUCUGAUGUUAGCGGCGGACGGGUGAGUAACACGUGGAUAACCUACCUUUAAGACUGGGAUAACUUCGGGAAACCGGAGCUAAUACCGGAUAAUAUUUUGAACCGCAUGGUUCAAAAGUGAAAGACGGUCUUGCUGUCACUUAUAGAUGGAUCCGCGCUGCAUUAGCUAGUUGGUAAGGUAACGGCUUACCAAGGCAACGAUGCAUAGCCGACCUGAGAGGGUGAUCGGCCACACUGGAACUGAGACACGGUCCAGACUCCUACGGGAGGCAGCAGUAGGGAAUCUUCCGCAAUGGGCGAAAGCCUGACGGAGCAACGCCGCGUGAGUGAUGAAGGUCUUCGGAUCGUAAAACUCUGUUAUUAGGGAAGAACAUAUGUGUAAGUAACUGUGCACAUCUUGACGGUACCUAAUCAGAAAGCCACGGCUAACUACGUG